rnacentral:rRNA from 1 species
GGGACACGUGGUAUCCUGUCUGAAUAUGGGGGGACCAUCCUCCAAGGCUAAAUACUCCUGACUGACCGAUAGUGAACCAGUACCGUGAGGGAAAGGCGAAAAGAACCCCGGCGAGGGGAGUGAAAAAGAACCUGAAACCGUGUACGUACAAGCAGUGGGAGCACGCUUAGGCGUGUGACUGCGUACCUUUUGUAUAAUGGGUCAGCGACUUAUAUUCUGUAGCAAGGUUAACCGAAUAGGGGAGCCGAAGGGAAACCGAGUCUUAACUGGGCGUUAAGUUGCAGGGUAUAGACCCGAAACCCGGUGAUCUAGCCAUGGGCAGGUUGAAGGUUGGGUAACACUAACUGGAGGACCGAACCGACUAAUGUUGAAAAAUUAGCGGAUGACUUGUGGCUGGGGGUGAAAGGCCAAUCAAACCGGGAGAUAGCUGGUUCUCCCCGAAAGCUAUUUAGGUAGCGCCUCGUGAAUUCAUCUCCGGGGGUAGAGCACUGUUUCGGCAAGGGGGUCAUCCCGACUUACCAACCCGAUGCAAACUGCGAAUACCGGAGAAUGUUAUCACGGGAGACACACGGCGGGUGCUAACGUCCGUCGUGAAGAGGGAAACAACCCAGACCGCCAGCUAAGGUCCCAAAGUCAUGGUUAAGUGGGAAACGAUGUGGGAAGGCCCAGACAGCCAGGAUGUUGGCUUAGAAGCAGCCAUCAUUUAAAGAAAGCGUAAUAGCUCACUGGUCGAGUCGGCCUGCGCGGAAGAUGUAACGGGGCUAAACCAUGCACCGAAGCUGCGGCAGCGACGCUUAUGCGUUGUUGGGUAGGGGAGCGUUCUGUAAGCCUGCGAAGGUGUGCUGUGAGGCAUGCUGGAGGUAUCAGAAGUGCGAAUGCUGACAUAAGUAACGAUAAAGCGGGUGAAAAGCCCGCUCGCCGGAAGACCAAGGGUUCCUGUCCAACGUUAAUCGGGGCAGGGUGAGUCGACCCCUAAGGCGAGGCCGAAAGGCGUAGUCGAUGGGAAACAGGUUAAUAUUCCUGUACUUGGUGUUACUGCGAAGGGGGGACGGAGAAGGCUAUGUUGGCCGGGCGACGGUUGUC